AACGUAGUUACAUGGCGCACAUGUCAGUGCAGAUCCAACGAGUGUUUCUUCUGUAGCAAUACAGGAAAAAGUCUAGUGGCGAACGGGUGCGUAACACGUGAGCAACCUGCCGUGAAGUGGGGGAUAGCUCGCCGAAAGGCGAAUUAAUACCGCAUAUGGCCAAGGAAGACAUCUUCCUGACGCCAAAGCCGGGGUAACCUGGCGCUUCUCGAGGGGCUCGCGGCCUAUCAGCUUGUUGGUGAGGUAACGGCUCACCAAGGCUAUGACGGGUAGCUGGUCUGAGAGGACGACCAGCCACACUGGAACUGAGACACGGUCCAGACACCUACGGGUGGCAGCAGUCGAGAAUUUUUCACAAUGGGGGAAACCCUGAUGGAGCGACGCCGCGUGGAGGAUGAAGGUUUUCGGAUUGUAAACUCCUGUCAUUAGAGAACAAGGCACAUGGUUUAACUGGCCGUGUGUUGAUAGUAUCUGAAGAGGAAGGGACGGCUAACUCUGUGCCAGCAGCCGCGGUAAUACAGAGGUCUCAAGCGUUGUUCGGAUUCAUUGGGCGUAAAGGGUGCGUAGGUGGCGAGGUAAGUCGGAUGUGAAAUCUCCAAGCUCAACUUGGAAACUGCAUUCGAUACUGCUUUGCUAGAGGAUUGUAGAGGGCAUUGGAAUCACGGUGUAGCAGUGAAAUGCGUAGAUAUCGUGAGGAAAGACCAGUGCGAAGGCGAAUGCCUGGGCAAUUCCUGACACCUGAGCACGAGGCCAGGGGAGCAAACGGGAUUAGAUACCCCGUAGUCCUGG
rnacentral:rRNA from 1 species